UCAAAUGUUUUUCCCGUGUCCUCAAACAGCUCUCUUGCAUGCGGGGGAGAUAAGACUUUCUCCUAAUGAAACAACCAAAGAUUUGAAUCCUGUGUUUGUUCUCUGGCACACCGGGGACAAAUGUGAGGCCUCGGGUCAUGCCCUUCGUCCCCUUCAUGCAGCACUGUUGAGUCCAUGAAGCAGAGGCCAAGGGGAAGGGCUGAGUCUAGUGGUCCCCUCUUUGCUGCAAUGUCCUGGCCCGGAGACCAGAGCCAGACAUGCCUGCCCAGCUGGGGCCUGGGUUGAGCCUCCCCAGGAUGGUGGCAGGUGUCUGCUCUGUCACUCUCCUCAGUGCCUGGAAGUCCAAGGCCAUGAGGACUGGCUGCCUUCCCGGAAAACACGGGUCACUGUCUGGUCGGCCUGUCCUUGAGCCCAGGCCUAGCUCUGUCCCAUGGCAGGAUAUGGACGGGGAGCGGCGAACUGUCCUCCUCUUCUCUCCCGGGUAGGACAGCAGGCUCCCAGACCUGGGAAACCCUCCAGCUCCACAGAGACGGUGUGGACCCGGAAGCUUGGACCACUCAGAGCCCCGAGAGGCUGAGUCACACCCACAUGUGUGAGAAACACCGACAGUGUCACAGCAUCGAAGGAUGUUGGAAAUCGAAAACAGCUGGAUUCCAGGCAGCUUGUCCAAACCUUCUCCUGAAGGAGGAACCUGUUCUCCAAAGUUCUCAAAGAUGAUCCUUCCCACCCUCCCUUCCACAAAUAUUUGGAGCACCCACGCUUUGUCAGGCACUGUGCUGGUCCUGGGGCAGUAACAGAGACAGAUAUGGGCCUCGUCCUCACUGAGCUGACAGUCUAGCACUUGAAAGUCUCUGCAAACAAUUUCUGUUGAAUACCUCUAGUAACAGGAUGCUCGCCACCUUACAGGACGGCCUCUUUUUUUUUUUUUUUUUUUCCGGUCAGUUUUUCCUUAUUUAAACUGUAAUGUUUGUUCUGACCUCUGGGGCUAUACAAAACAAGUCUAACCCCAUUUCCUAUGUCAGUGCCCUUAGAACGUGGAAAAAUAAACAUGGUACGCUC